rnacentral:misc_RNA from 1 species
AAAGUCGUAACAAGGUCUCCGUUGGUGAACCAGCGGAGGGAUCAUUACAAAAGCUUACGCUCAAACCCUUUGUGAACCUACCAAUCGUUGCUCGGCGCUCGGCGGACCGGGGCGGCCCCACUAUACCGGGGCCGCCCCCGCCCGGCGGCGUCAGAGGACCCACACUCUAUUUUUACAGCGUACCAACUCUGAUUCAUAAGACAAACAGUUAAAACUUUCAACAACGGAUCUCUUGGUUCUG